rnacentral:misc_RNA from 1 species
AAAAGCUUUAAGGAAAGCUCUUUGUUUUUUGAAAGGGUGCUUUUAUGAGAUAGAGAUUUUUUAGAUAAUGCUUUUUUAGAUAAUGCUGGGGAAGGUUUUCCGGUUUAUCUCGGAGGGCUUGUAGCUCAGUUGGUUAGAGCGCGCGCUUGAUAAGCGUGAGGUCGGAGGUUCAAGUCCUCCCAGGCCCACCAAUUUACCUAUCCAUUUGCCUUUAUCUGUUUAUUUGCCGAUUUAUCGGUCCAUUGAAUUUAAGUGUUGGUAGCAGUUUUAUAAUGAUGAGAAAUCAUGCUUAUAAAAGAACUCCUUAUAAAAGGCUUGUUUUUAAAAUGUGACGCUUAUCCAUUUCGCUUAGGCAAGAGAAACUUCAAGCGGUUCAAAUGCAAAAGGCUUUAAAUUUUGCAAAACACUUUGAAUUUUGCAAAACACUUUGAAUUUUAAAGUGAUCCAAGUUCGUGAUCUCGAAUUUAAAAGUUUCGAAUGCUUUAUCCUUUUUUGGGGGCCGUAGCUCAGCUGGGAGAGCACCUGCUUUGCAAGCAGGGGGUCGUC